rnacentral:rRNA from 1 species
UGCCUAACACAUGCAAGUCGAACGCCAAAGGGGCUUCGGCCCUGAGUAGAGUGGCGAACGGGUGAGUAACACGUGGGUGAUCUACCUCUGAGUGGGGGAUAACGUUCCGAAAGGAGCGCUAAUACCGCAUGACGUUCUGGGUUUGAAGACCUGGAAACCAAAGCCGGGGACCGCAAGGCCUGGCGCUUGGAGAGGAGCCCGCGCCUGAUUAGCUAGUUGGCGGGGUAAUGGCCCACCAAGGCGACGAUCAGUAGCCGGCCUGAGAGGGCGGACGGCCACACUGGGACUGAGACACGGCCCAGACUCCUACGGGAGGCAGCAGUGGGGAAUUGUUCGCAAUGGGCGCAAGCCUGACGACGCAACGCCGCGUGGAGGAUGAAGGCCUUCGGGUCGUAAACUCC